GGGUCCCUCUCCUUCCUGCUGGGUAUCUUGCUGGGGCCUCCAAAUGUUAUGGGUUGGCUCAGUGAGAUAGACCACCGACUCAGAAUUUAAAUUUAAGAGCCUUUAUUA
rnacentral:miRNA from 1 species